rnacentral:rRNA from 1 species
UACGUAGGUGGCGAGCGUUGUCCGGAUUUACUGAGCGUAAAGGGAGCGUAGGCGGGCUUUUAAGUGAGAUGUGAAAUACUCGGGCUCAACUUGAGUGCUGCAUUUCAAACUGGAAGUCUAGAGUGCAGGAGAGGAGAAUGGAAUUCCUAGUGUAGCGGUGAAAUGCGUAGAGAUUAGGAAGAACACCAGUGGCGAAGGCGAUUCUCUGGACUGUAACUGACGCUGAGGCUCGAAAGCGUGGGGAGCAAACAGG